AGUCCUGCCUUCGACCUUCAACGUGGCUGGUCUCCUCUCAGGUUCCUGGAAGGAGAUGGAGGGAGGUGAAACCUGAGAAAGGAAUACAGGGAGAGAGGUCGGCUCAACCCCGGGGGCUCUUUCUUCCGGCCUUCUUCUGAGGCUUCUCAUCUUCCUCACAUUGGUACAAGAAAUCUUCAAGGGACUGAUAACAGGCCCAGUUCGGCUGAUUACCAGUAAACACACAAAGCCUCAUCCGAAAUCAGCAGCUGCUCACACUGGAGAUGAAGCCAUGAGCCCCUGUGAGCAUCACGUCAUCCCCAAGUGUACAGGAUGCAGACAAGAGCCAGUGUGUGGUCUGACGUCAAUGAAUUCUACCCUGUGUAAGUCAGUGACCCUGGCUGAGCUUUGUGGACGGAGCACCGUGACACCGGGGCAGAUCCUAGAGACACCUACAGGACCACCACUGUCCUCAAGAGCCCCAAAGGCCAGAUGCUAUCUGAAAUAAAACUGCCUGGCAAUGGCAUUGUGAACUUCCAGCACCUUCCUCACAGCACCGGAGUUUGACAGCAGCUGGCCCCCGAUCCUCAGCCCUUAGCUGCUAUGCUUUGCUGGCGUGUUGGGGUAGACAGUAUGUGGCGACAGAAACUGCAAGCACCCUGGGGCACACAGAAGCCAUCCUAGGUGGGACCUGCCUAUUUUUAAUUGAGCCGUUUACUCUUUUGUUAAUGAGUUGCCUGGAUUGUAUAUGUACUCUAGCCAUGAAUCCUGUAUUCCAUAAUUAUUCAGUGUGUGUAUAUGUGUAGUGUUUGCAUAAGCAUAAGCACACAUGUAUGUGCAGGUGUGGGUACAUACGAAGGCUAGAGAUUGAUAACAGGAUGUUUUCCAUUGACCUUCACCUCUCUUUCUGUCUCUCUUUCUGACUGUCUCUCUCUUUCUUUUCCUUUCUUCCUUCUUUCUCUCUCUCUCUUUUUCUUUUCUUUUUGAAACAGGGUUUCUCCAAGUAGCCCUGGCUGUCCUCCUGAAGUUCAUUGUGUAGAUCAGGCUGGCCUCAGACUCACAGAGAUCUGCCUGCCUCUGCCUCUUGAGUACUGGGAUUAAAGGUGUGUGAUACCA